UACGUAGGGCGCAAGCGUUUGUCCGGAAUUAUUGGGCGUAAAGAGCUCGUAGGCGGUCUGUCGCGUCGGAUGUGAAAACCCAGGGCUCAACCCUGGGCCUGCAUUCGAUACGGGCAGACUAGAGUUCGGUAGGGGAGACUGGAAUUCCUGGUGUAGCGGUGAAAUGCGCAGAUAUCAGGAGGAACACCGGUGGCGAAGGCGGGUCUCUGGGCCGAAACUGACGCUGAGGAGCGAAAGCGUGGGGAGCAAACAGG
rnacentral:rRNA from 1 species